UCCAGAGCAGCGGGACAACGUCGCGUCAGAGGCCGAAACAGGUCCCGAUCUCGGACUAAGUGGUGCGGUUGGUGUCCAACGGUCUGGAAGUCUUGGGGAGGCUCCAGAGCAGCGGGACAUCGUCGCGUAAGAGCCGAAACAGGUCCCGAUCUCGGACUAAGUGGUGCGGUUGGUGUCCAACGGUCUGGAAGUCUUGGGGAGGCUCCAGAGCAGCGGGACAUCGUCGCGUCAGAGUCCGAAACAGGUCCCGAUCUCGGACUGAAUAGUG
ensembl:lncRNA